rnacentral:rRNA from 1 species
AUUGAACGCUGGCGGCAUGCCUUACACAUGCAAGUCGAACGGUAACAGGUCUUCGGAUGCUGACGAGUGGCGAACGGGUGAGUAAUACAUCGGAACGUGCCUAGUAGUGGGGGAUAACUACUCGAAAGAGUGGCUAAUACCGCAUGGGAUCUACGGAUGAAAGCAGGGGAUCGCAAGACCUUGUGCUACUAGAGCGGCCGAUGGCAGAUUAGGUAGUUGGUGGGAUAAAAGCUUACCAAGCCGACGAUCUGUAGCUGGUCUGAGAGGACGAUCAGCCACACUGGGACUGAGACACGGCCCAGACUCCUACGGGAGGCAGCAGUGGGGAAUUUUGGACAAUGGGCGAAAGCCUGAUCCGGCAAUGCCGCGUGCAGGAUGAAGGCCUUCAGGUUGUAAACUGCUUUUGUACGGAACGAAAAGCCCCGGGUUAAUACCCUGGGGUCAUGACGGUACCGUAAGAAUAAGCACCGGCUAACUACGUGCCAGCCGCCGCGGUAA